rnacentral:rRNA from 1 species
GACGAACGCUGGCGGCGUGCUUAACACAUGCAAGUCGAACGCUGAAGCCCAGCUUGCUGGGUGGAUGAGUGGCGAACGGGUGAGUAACACGUGAGUAACCUGCCCCCUUCUUUGGGAUAACGCCCGGAAACGGGUGCUAAUACUGGAUAUUCACUGAUCUUCGCAUGGGGGUUGGUGGAAAGGUUUUUUCUGGUGGGGGAUGGGCUCGCGGCCUAUCAGCUUGUUGGUGGGGUGAUGGCCUACCAAGGCUUUGACGGGUAGCCGGCCUGAGAGGGUGACCGGUCACAUUGGGACUGAGAUACGGCCCAGACUCCUACGGGAGGCAGCAGUGGGGAAUAUUGCACAAUGGGCGAAAGCCUGAUGCAGCGACGCCGCGUGAGGGAUGACGGCCUUCGGGUUGUAAACCUCUUUCGCUCAUGGUCAAGCCGCAGCUUUGGGUUGUGGUGAGGGUAGUGGGUAAAGAAGCGCCGGCUAACUACGUGCCAGCAGCCGCGGUAAUACGUAGGGCGCGAGCGUUGUCCGGAAUUAUUGGGCGUAAAGGGCUUGUAGGCGGUUGGUCGCGUCUGCCGUGAAAAUCCUCUGGCUUAACUGGGGGCGUGCGGUGGGUACGGGCUGACUUGAGUGCGGUA